rnacentral:misc_RNA from 1 species
GAAAUGCGAUAAGUAAUGUGAAUUGCAGAAUUCAGUGAAUCAUCGAAUCUUUGAACGCACAUUGCGCCCCUUGGUAUUCCGGGGGGCAUGCCUGUUCGAGCGUCAUUACAACCCUCAAGCUCUGCUUGGAAUUGGGCACCGUCCUCACUGCGGACGCGCCUCAAAGACCUCGGCGGUGGCUGUUCAGCCCUCAAGCGUAGUAGAAUACACCUCGCUUUGGAGCGGUUGGCGUCGCACGCCGGACGAACCUUCUGAACUUUUCUCAAGGUUGACCUCGGAUCAGGUAGGGAUACCCGCUGAACUUAAGC